UUAAAUAGCAGUCUGGCUAAGAAUCAUGCAAAAUGAUGAAAUAGUGAUACACACUGUAUCACAGAAAUCCACCAUACUUUUUGUUUUGAAAGAUCUUGUGAAGUAAGAUCUAAAUUUGUAAUAUUAAACCAUUGAACACAGUAUAUUUUUCUUGGUGCUUUAUUGAAUAUUGGGAAAAUAUGAACUUUCCCCACUUAUUGCAGUAUAAGAAUUUCACUAUUUUCUCCUAAGACCGGAUGUU
rnacentral:lncRNA from 1 species